rnacentral:lncRNA from 1 species
UUUCAUUAUUGACUUAUGAUAAAUGAAUAUAUAAAGCAACUCUUAGAACUUAAUAAUUUAAAUAUUAAAUAUAUCAGGAGUUGCAAGUGUAGUUUAGGUUUUCUUAUGUAGUUUAUUAAAGUCUUACAAGAAACUCUAUUUUCCAUUAAUCCUUUUUCAUUUAUUAGAGAAAUAACCUUUUUGAAUUAUAUAUAAGAAGUGAUCGUGUUUUAUUUGCUGACAAUGGAUAUUACAGAAACAUAUGUUACUAGGAGUUACUUGGAUUGUUACAUAGUCCUGCCCUGUAUACCGCCCUAUAAAAUCCUAGAUAUUGGCAUGGAGUACUUUCCAACAUUUUAUUGUGAAAGUUUUAAAAACUAUUAAAACAUGUUGGAAGAACCAUCAUCUACCUUUGCCAGUUGGUACAGACAUUAUGACUUUUCAUCCCUAAAUUUAUUAGAAAGUAUUUCUUGGUAAUAGUGUUAUUAUUCUACAGAAGUACAAUAUUAUUAUCACAGCUAAGACAAAUAACAAUAUGCCAAUAAUAUCAUCUAAUAUGUUCAUUAUAUGAAAUUUCUCCAGUGGAAAAUGGUCCCCCAAAACAUCUUUUGUGGCUCUUUUUCCCCAAUCUAAUAUGCAGUCAAGUUUCUUGCCUUCUAUAUGGUUAUUAAAAAUAUUUAGUAUCUUUUAAUUCAGCAUAAUCUUUUAGCCUCUUAGGUUUGUUUGUUUUAUAUGACAUUGAUUAUUUAUACUGAGUCCAGGACAACUGACUUAUAGAAUGUUCUAUUCUGGUUGUGUCUGACGAUUCCUUUAUGUUUAGAUUUGGGUUCAAUAUUUUUAGCAAGAGAACUUCAUGUUCUGAACAGUUUUUUUAAUAUUUAUUUUUUAGUUGGACACAAUACCUUUAUUUUAUUUAUUUAUUUUUAUGUGGUGCUGAGGAUUGAACCCAGGGCCUUGCACAUGCUAGGAGAGCGCUCCACCACUGAGCCAUAAUCCCAGCCCUGAACAGUUUUCAUAGUAUGAAUUUUACCUAUGUUGAGUUACCCACACCAGUGCUCAAAGUCACAAAUUUGAGCACUUGGUCCCCAGGCAUCUCCACUGUGAAAGAACAUUUUUGUUUUCUGUUGGUAAGCAAUUUGUUAGAAUGACAUCCUGAGGCUUGUGGAUAUGCUGAAUUCUAACAAACUUUGGCCCAAAGGACUUGGUACCUACUGUGAUCCUUGCCUGUAUUUGUUAGUAACAUUUUCAAACUAGUGAUUUUUCUCAUUGUUAUUCAUUCUACAAUGUGAUAAAAUUAGCUUUUGGACCUCUUGAUUUUAAACAUCUUAACUGCAGAACUGCAUUGUGGAUAAUCAUCUACAUAAUUAUAAGCUGGUAGGUGUGAAGGUUUUACUCUUGUCAGACAGAUUUCAAUUUUAAGCUAGCAUUCCUAAAAGACUAAAAGGGAUUUUCCUCUGUGUGUGUGUGUGUGUGUGUGUGUGUGUGAUAUGUUUUAACCUCUACCCCCAGGUAAUUCUGACCAUAAACAAAAUUUCACAAUCAUUUCAUGCAAUUACAUAUACCUAAAGACAAAAGUCUGAUAUUCUCUCUGUUCUCUAGAUCCGCAGUGUCUGUAGCACAGCAUUGCUUACUCAAUGUGUAGAAACAGUUCCGUUUUAGCAAGUCUAGGAGUGUUGAGCGUCCUUACCAUAGCCAUGUCCUUUAGCAAUGUGACUGAAGUCUUUUAUUUUUCCACUCCUUUAACAAUUUCGUUUAAGCUAAUCAAGAGUAGGAUGAGGAAGUAUGACAAUUUUGGGGUUUUUUCAUGCCUAUUAAUCCUAUAAAGCUAUGUAAACUGGUGGUCAGAGAGGUGAUAAUGACAUGGGACUCAGUAAAAAGCAUAUUGCACUGGUUAAGCUCUCUCUCUGCUGGGAGAAAUUUUGAGAUAUUAACAGGAAUUUUCUCUUUACUACCCAUUUCUCUGGGGACCUCUUUCCUUCACUGAGUCAAUUAUAUUUAUAUCCCCCAAAGAGUCUAUUUAUGUAAGAGCAAAGAGUCAAAUUGUUGGUCUUGAAUUACAAAAUAUGUUUUCUAUAUUCAUAGUAUAAGAUAAAAUCCUGAAAGCCAAGGCCCAUUUUUUUCUGAUUUUUUUCUUUCUCCAUAAAAUAAAACACAGAUACAGAAAGCUGCACAGAAUACAUAGUUUAGUGAAUUAUUGUCAAGGAAUACCUUUAUAAUCAUCAUCUGAGUCAAGAAAUGAACCUUUGCCAGCUGCCCCUGAAGCCUUUCCCUGAAUCCCAUCCUAAUCAUAGACCCUUCCAUCUCUCCCAAAGUAGAUUCCAUCUUGAUAUUUGUAAGAGUUAUUCUCUUGUAUUAUUUAUAGUUAUAUAUCCCAAGCACACACUGCCUUAUACUACAGUUCAAUCUUAUACAAUUUUUGCUCUUUUUAUUUUUAAUUUUAAAUUUUGAUUUUGAAAUCAUUUCAAACAUAUAAAAAUGUUUAAGAAAGUAGAAGGAUGCCUAAAUGCCCAAUACCUACAAGCUUCAUAAAUGUUAACAUAGUACCAGAUAACCACAGUACUAUUAUCAAAUCAGGAAGUUAACAUGUAUAUAACACUAUAACCAAAUACAUAAUAUGUAAAUUUUCUCAAUUUCCCAUUAAGGGCAGUUCCACAAGGGUGCCAAGAUCAUACAAUGGGAAAGGGUAGCUUAUUCAAUUUAUGGUGUUUGGAUAUUCAUUUUCACAACCAAAAGAAUGAAAUUGGAGCCUUUUGUCCCACCAUAUAUAAAGAAUAACUCAAAAUGGAUGUGAAAACUGAAAAUAAGAUCUGAAGCCAUAUAAUUCCUAUAAGAAAACAUAUGGGAAAGGAUUCUUGAUCUCAGUCUUGGCAGUGUUCUUGGACAUGACACCAAAAACACAAUAAAUGGCUAAGUGGGACUAUAUCAAACUAGCAAUUUGUACAGAGCAAAGAAAACCAUCAGAGUGAAAAGGCAACCUACAGAAUAGGAAAAAAUUGCAAACCAUAUAUCUGGAAGGCAUUAAUUUCAUAUA